UACCAGCACCCCGAGUGGUCGGGACGUUUAUUGGGCCUAAAGCAUCCGUAGCCGGUUCUACAAGUCUUCCGUUAAAUCCACCUGCUUAACAGAUGGGCUGCGGAAGAUACUAUAGAGCUAGGAGGCGGGAGAGGCAAGCGGUACUCGAUGGGUAGGGGUAAAAUCCGUUGAUCCAUUGAAGACCACCAGUGGCGAAGGCGGCUCUCUGGAACGCAACUGACGCUGAGACGCGAAAGCGUGGGGAGCAAACAGG
rnacentral:rRNA from 1 species